ACUAACUUCGGCAGCAGAUGCUAAAAUGGGAGCAAUACAGAGAUGAUUAGCAUGGUCCCUGUGCAAGAAUGCCAUGGAAAUUCAUGAUGUUCCACCUCCCUGA